rnacentral:rRNA from 1 species
CCUACGGGUGGCUGCAGUGAGGAAUAUUGGUCAAUGGACGCAAGUCUGAACCAGCCAUGCCGCGUGAAGGAUGAAGGCGUUCUGCGUUGUAAACUUCUUUUAUUAGGGAAGAAACCUGCGUAUUCUUAUGCAGCCGACGGUACCUGAUGAAUAAGCACCGGCUAACUCCGUGCCAGCAGCCGCGGUAAUACGGAGGGUGCAAGCGUUAUCCGGAUUCACUGGGUUUAAAGGGUGUGUAGGCGGACUUUUAAGUCCGUGGUGAAAUCUCUGGGCUU